rnacentral:ribozyme from 12 species
GAUGUUGUUAAUAAUAAUAUCUUAGAAGAACAUGGUAUAUAACCUGAUGACUUUUCUAUUUCACUAAAAUUAGAUGAGGUGCUUGCACUAUUCACUGCACAGAGGCGUAAUCCUCCAAUAUGAAAAUAAAAAAAUAUAUAA